GGAUAAUAAAUGGUCACGAAGCUUUUCCCCCCAGGACGUCUAAGGAAUAAACAAUAAUUCUCCCAAAAAAGUCAGCACUAUUCUCAAACAUUAUUUUAACUUUGUCCACUGCAGGGGCCUCCUGUAUGGGAAAGCUGUGGGUAGAGUUGUUGUCCUCUGGAUAAAAAUGGCUGAUUGGUGUAAAGUCUCCAUCUAUAGGACAACCUGCAGAAAGCACAAGUUAAAAAUACUUUUACGUCAUCAUGUCACACACAUCAUCUAGUCUGAAACAGAAAUGAAGAACUGAAACAAGAACCCUGUAGAUAUCUCACCGUAUACUGUAUCAAUUUAAGUCGUGCAGUAAGAAAUCUGUAGGUUUUACCUUCUAGCCUGCAAGUUUUUGCUGAGAAGCCGCCCUGGAACUGGAGCUUUAGCUCUGACACCUUGACAGACUGGGGGAACUCCAGAGACACCCACUGAUAUUCACCCUGUUAAACAUGAUUUACAAUACAAACAACGUUAUUAAUCUCAUUGCACGCAAUCUGUUUAUAGCAGCUUGUAAAACACGUUUAAAAAAAAAAUGUACAGGAUGAUAUUCAAAUUAUGAAGAUUAUGAGUUAAUUUAAGUUUAAAUACAUAACACCCAGGAGCUAAUAAGAUGUCUUUAAGUUUCAUAAGCACAUUUGUGUAUCUCUGUUGCAGCUACAUAGGCUUCACAUAUAAAGUAUGAUCAGAAAUUGACUAAAUUAGUUCUACUCGAAACAAUGAAUGUGCCGUGGAAAAACCUUUUUAGCAUGCUGUACACACUGUUCUCUUACAAUGCAAAGUAUUAAUCUGCAGACAGCUCGACAAAUACUUAGAGAAAUGAUUGAUGGAGGGGAAACACACUCAGGACAAACUCUUACUUUUAAAUUAAUGGCGUGAUAAUUAAAGCAUUUUAUGAGGGUUUAAAGUGUAUGCUGUGUGAGUUUCACUUGGCAUUCCGAAGAUGCUGUAUCUUUAUUUUCCUUUGGUAUACAACAACAAAGUAUGUUGAUCCCAUGUAUUUUUAACUGUAUUAACACUAUAAACAUAGACGGGUUUACACACUGUAGCCUAACAGUAAACAUGCGAGACUGUGACACAGCUGUUGUGUUACCUGGUCUGAGUUCCA